GAUGAACGCUGGCGGCGUGCCUAAUACAUGCAAGUCGAGCGAACAGACGAUGUUCUUGCUCCUCUGACGUUAGCGUCUGACGUGUUAGUAACACGUUUAUAACCUACCUUUUAUACUUGUAUUACUUCGGGAAUCCGUCUCUAAUACCGGUUAUUUUUUUCAUCCGCAUGUUUCAUUAGUUUUAUUCGUUUUUUCUGUCUCUUUUAGAUUGAUCCGCGCCGCAUUAGCUAGUUGUUAAGGUAACGGCUUACCAAGGCAACGAUGAGUAGCCGACAUGAGAGGGUGAGCGGCAAAACUGGAACUGAGACACGGACCAGAAGCCUACGGGAGGAAGCAGAAGGGAAUGUGCCGAAAAGGGCGAAAGCAUGACGGAGCAAAGCCGCGUGAGUGAUGAAGGACUUCGGAUCGUAAAAAUCUGUUAUUAGGGAAGAAAAAAAGUGGAAGAAAAUAAGCACGUAUUGACGGUAACAAAUAAGAAAGCAACGGCUAACGACGUG
rnacentral:rRNA from 1 species